rnacentral:rRNA from 1 species
CCUACGGGUGGCUGCAGUGGGGAAUAUUGCGCAAUGGGGGGAACCCUGACGCAGCAACGCCGCGUGAAGGAAGAAGGCCUUCGGGUUGUAAACUUCUUUGAUGAGGGACGAAACAAAUGACGGUACCUCAGGAACAAGCCACGGCUAACUACGUGCCAGCAGCCGCGGUAAUACGUAGGUGGCGAGCGUUGUCCGGAAUUACUGGGUGUAAAGGGCGUGUAGGCGGGGAUGUAAGUCAGAUGUGAAAUACCGAGGCUUAACUUCGGGGGUGCAUCUGAAACUAUGUUUCUUGAGUACUGGAGAGGGAAGCGGAAUUCCUAGUGUAGCGGUGAAAUGCGUAGAUAUUAGGAGGAACACCAGUGGCGAAGGCGGCUUCCUGGACAGUAACUGACGCUGAGGCGCGAAAGCGUGGGUAGCGAACAGGAUUAGAUACCCCGGUAGUC